GAAAAUGAUAAAAAGGUAAAUCUAAUGGCAGAAAACUUGAUAGCACAAAAUGCUUCGUACUAUCGAUAGUAUCCUAGCUGGACUUCAGGUAUAACUGCACUUUACAUACAAAAAAGCUUACAAAUAUAUUAAUUGAUGAGUAUAGUAAGCUAUACAUAACAAAUAUUUUUAAUUAUUUGAUUAAAUCUUUCAAAAUAACAUUAUAAGAGUUUAUUGGAACAAAAAAAAUUAAAAUAAGUCCGUGUCAAAGCGUGCCAGUAAGAGGUCGUGCGUAUUUAUCGGCACUCAAGCGUACCAUGUGUCGGCACGGAAGCGUGUCGGUGCCGUACUGUGGCAGGCAGACAGCGGCACGCCCCGGUGCCACGGCACUUUAAACCUUAUUAUAGUGCUUAAUAAAGAGGUAGCAUUUGCUUGUAAACAAAGUGGUGUUGUCAGCAAACGUGUCCAUUUUAUACCGAUUUUUCAAUAGAUGCUACUGAUUAUUUCUCUGUGCAUGCUAUAUCUAGUCAUAACUUAUAUUGUUAGAGUGCUGCCUCUAUUUGUCCCAGUCAUAUAUCUGUUUAUAAUAGGUAGGCACUCCUAGAACUCACAGGAGAUUCCUCGCUCGAGAUAGUGGGACCUAGGGGCCUUUGCCACGAACAACACCAAAAGUUUUAUUAGGGAUGCCUUCCAAUACAACGGUGAGAUUUUCUUUUUUUUAAGCUCGAGAUAAUACCAGUAAACUUUCGACUGACUUUUUGGGCCUUGCAGGCUAUAGAUAGUCUCUACUGUGUUGGUGAUAGUUGUUUUCCAGGACAGGGUGUCAUAGUUGUAUCUUUCUCAGGAAUCAUAUGUGCUCACAGAGUUUCUGUGAUAUAGGGUUUGAAAAAAGAUCUCCUAUUUUAGAUGCUGGUCUUCUUUGGCUGCUUGGGUGGCUGAGAACAAUGGCAUAAAAAGCAUCUAUUGAUCCAUCAUUAUAGCACUUGAUGUCGUUGCUAGUUUCUGAGUGGAUUACAUGUUCAUUCAAUGAACUUUCAGAUGUGUUGGUGAAAUAACUCGACAUAUCUCUUAUUCUACAAACUAUCCCAUGAUGAGAAUGGUUAAAUUAUCUUUUGUUGUCAGGUAUUUGUCAUUGUUAAGCUAGCUGAUUUAUGACUUUGAGCUGGCAUUGUGGGAGUCAGAAGUUAAAUAGAAGCUUUAUGAAUAUGGAGGUAUUCUUGC